GGAAGGCAAAUUUGACUUUGUGUUUUGUCGCUCUGGGGUAAAACAGGAAGGAUAGGGUCCCCUGAGCCAGGAUCGGUGACAGCUGCGGAUCUUGCCUCUCUCCGCGCUCAGAAAUGCAGUGCUCUGUCGCCACCUGGUGGGAGGAGCAGAUAAUACGAGGGGUGGCCCCUUCGGAUGCGACCACUCACCCUACCACAGAGAGAAUGUUCCCAUUCCAACCCAGAGGAAGAGGCAUCAAUGGCCUGCAUGGUGUUGUGGAACCCACAGUGACUCUCCAUACAGACUGUCCCUGAGGUACAGAAGGAUGAGGGCCCUGGGAGAGGCCACAGAGGGGGACAGCUGUUAUUGUGCCAGUCAGGGUAGAGCAAGAGGAAGCUCCUUGGCUCAUCUGCUCCCCCAACUCUUACCUCUUUCUGGGGGCUUCCCUCUGGUCUCCAGUACUGCAGCCUGAAAGUGUGAGUAAGUCAACCUCCAAGGCAACUUCCGACCACAGCAGCUAGAGCUGUUGCAGACACGCUCCUUUCUGACCCUUGGUGGACAAUUCUGAGGGCCACUCCACACAGUUCCUCAGCAUGUCCCAGCUGGACCCAGCCCUAGUGGUCCCACAGUGGUGACCAGUUCCACAAACACUGUUGUACUGGCUUUCCUGGCUC
ensembl:lncRNA